GUGUACGGUCAUACCACUCUGAACGCGCUUGAUCUGAUUUGAUCUCAGAAGCUACGCAGGGUCGGGCCUGGUUAGUACUUGGAUGGGAAACUUUGUUAAGGUGUCUGGCCAUGUAGGCA
ensembl:rRNA 5S_rRNA 5S ribosomal RNA